AAUGAUGGAUACAACAUAGCGUUAAUGCACGAGAUCCAAUUAGAACUCCACAGUUAAAUGUGAUCGUUCUAAAGUAUUACUAAGAUGAGUGACCACCCGAGAAGUCCUAGUGCUUUUUGUG
rfam:Picea glauca, whole genome shotgun sequence.